GGCAUUGAGUGCUUGCACUCUUUGGACGUCGACCGGCGCACGGGUGAGUAACGCGUAUCCAACCUUCCCAUUACUGUGGGAUAACCUGCCGAAAGGCAGACUAAUACCGCAUAGUCUUCGAUGACGGCAUCAGAUUUGAAGUAAAGAUUUAUCGGUAAUGGAUGGGGAUGCGUCUGAUUAGCUUGUUGGCGGGGUAACGGCCCACCAAGGCGACGAUCAGUAGGGGUUCUGAGAGGAAGGUCCCCCACAUUGGAACUGAGACACGGUCCAAACUCCUACGGGAGGCAGCAGUGAGGAAUAUUGGUCAAUGGACGGAAGUCUGAACCAGCCAAGUAGCGUGCAGGAUGACGGCCCUAUGGGUUGUAAACUGCUUUUGUAUGGGGAUAAAGUUAGGGACGUGUCCCUAUUUGCAGGUACCAUACGAAUAAGGACCGGCUAAUUCCGUGCCAGCAGCCGCGGUAAUACGGAAGGUCCAGGCGUUAUCCGGAUUUAUUGGGUUUAAAGGGAGCGUAGGCUGGAGAUUAAGUGUGUUGUGAAAUGUAGACGCUCAACGUCUGAAUUGCAGCGCAUACUGGUUUCCUUGAGUACGCACAACGUUGGCGGAAUUCGUCGUGUAGCCGGUGAAAUGCUUAGAUAUGACGAAGAACUCCGAUUGCGAAGGCAGCUGACGGGAGCGCAACUGACGCUUAAGCUCGAAGGUGCGGGUAUCAAACAGGAUUAGAUACCCUGGUAGUCCGCACAGUAAGCGAUGGAUGCCCGCUGUUGGUACCUGGUAUCAGCGGC
rnacentral:rRNA from 1 species